rnacentral:tRNA from 1 species
ACUUAAAUAGCUUAAAUCUAAAAGCUUAACUCUGAAGAAGUUAUGAUAGGUGAUUACCUUUUAGGUA